rnacentral:rRNA from 1 species
AUUGAACGCUGGCGGCAGGCUUAACACAUGCAAGUCGAACGCCCCGCAAGGGGAGUGGCAGACGGGUGAGUAACGCGUGGGAACGUGCCCUUCGCUUCGGAAUAGCCCCGGGAAACUGGGAGUAAUACCGGAUACGCCGUAUUGGGAAAGAUUUAUCGGCGAAGGAUCGGCCCGCGUUGGAUUAGCUAGUUGGAGGUGUAAUGGACCCCCAAGGCUACGAUCCAUAGCUGGUCUGAGAGGAUGAUCAGCCACACUGGGACUGAGACACGGCCCAGACUCCUACGGGAGGCAGCAGUGGGGAAUCUUGGACAAUGGGCGCAAGCCUGAUCCAGCCAUGCCGCGUGAGUGAAGAAGGCCUUAGGGUUGUAAAACUCUUUCGCCGGAGAAGAUAAUGACGGUAUCCGGAGAAGAAGCCCCGGCUAACUUCGUGCCAGCAGCCGCAGUAAAAC